GGAAUUUAGCUCAGUGGUAGAGCACUUGCCUAGCAAGCGCAAGGCCCUGGGUUCGGUUCCCAGCUCCG
rnacentral:tRNA from 1 species